UCUCUCUGUGUGUGUGUGUGCGCGCGCGUGCGCGUGCGCGCGCAUGUGCAGGUGAAGGCCAGAGGUCAAUGCUAGGUGUCUCCCUUGAUCCCUCCUCACAUUCUCUUUGAGACAGGGUCUCUCACUGGUACUUGCUGCCUAGAUCGCAGGCGCUAGGGAGCUGCCACUCGCUGCCCUCACUGCACUAGGGUCACAGAGGCACAGAACUACGCUGUCUUACUCAGUGUUUCUACUGCAGCAACGAAGACACCAUGAGCAAAAAGCAAGUUGGGGAGGCUUGCACUUCCAGAUCAUUGGAAGAAGUCAGGACAGGAACUCAGUCAGGGUAGGAACACGGAGGCAGGAGCUGAUGCAGAGGCCAGAGAGGGGUGCUGCUUGCUGGCCAGCUUCCCCAUGACUUCUUCAGCUUGCUUUCUUAUAGAACCUAGGACUACCAGCCCAGGGAUGGCACCACCCACAGUGAGCCCUGUCCUCACCCUCUGCUCACUGAUUGAGAUAAUGCUCUACAGCUGCAUUUCACAGAGGCAUUUCCUUAACUGAGGCUCCUUCCUCUCGGAUGACUCCAGCUUAUGUCAAGUUGAUCCACAAAACCAACCAGUGCAUAUACCUAACUUUGAUAGCUGCUGGGGAUCCAAGUUCAGCCCCUCAUGCUUGCUCGGGAUUAUAGGUGGGCCCAGCUUUUUACGUGGGUGCUAGAAAUUCAAAGUCAAGUUCUUUCACAAGCACUUAACUGAGUUAUCUCCCUGACCCCUGGGUUUUGUGGUUAUUGUUUGUUGGAUGUUGUUGUUUGUUUGUUUGUUUCUAUUUUCGUUGGCCUCUUUAGAAACGGGCCCUCUUGUGCAUACUAGUCUGGAACCCAGUUACCUCAGCUUCCACAGAGCUUGUGGUUAGCUUGAUACAGAAUCUCAUGAUUUUGUCCAAUCUGGUCUGGAACUUGGGCUCAGAUGAUCCUCUUGCCUGUGCAUCUUGUAGUGCUGAGAGUAUAUGUAUACACCAGUGCUCUCAGCUUUGAGGUGUGCAAGUUUUAAUAUUUUUAAGAAAACUUUUUCUUGGUUCUUUGUGAAUUUCACAUUAUGCACCCCAAUCCCACUCCAUCUCUCCCUCCACCCAUACCUAUCCUCCGCCCAUGCAACCUCACCAUAAAUAGAAAAAAUAAAAAUCUCAUUGUGGAAGCUGUAAUGUGUCAGUGUGUCCCACAGUGUACCCUUUUGUCCACACUUCUAUUGCAAAUGUUCAUUGUAAGACUUGGUGGCCUGGUACAAUGCUGCCUGCUUCAGCUGCUCUAUCAAUACUGGAACUUCACUGAGAGUCCUCUCAGAUAUCCUGUUGUUGCUGUGUCAUGGAGAUCCUGUAGUUUUGGAUCUGUGAGACUGGUCCCUUCCAGCAGUUCAUUGAUGGAAUAGAUGUUGGCACAGGCCAAAUCAAAGCCCUGGAUCUGGGCCAGAGAGAGAGAGAGAGAGCUGAAGUGGUCAAACCACAGGCUCUCCUGCUCUCAUGCCCUUGAGGCUGGCUCACCAGAAACCACCACCACCAGGACCAGUUCUACCCUGCUGCCCAGCACACAAGUUUCUAGUCCAGCCCUUUAAUGCUCACACACUUGGAUCUGGCUUGACUGUGUUCCAACCACCAGGAUCAGCUCUAUUGUACUGCCCAAGCAAGGUCCAGAGCCUACUCUCCUGAGUGCUGAAGCAGGGUCUCGUGAGUGAGUGUCUGGGGACAUCUCCAGAGUGGUCUCAGGAAUACUAUGCUUCGAUGUGCUAUCAACACUGCAAAACUAAAAAGUACCAACACAAUGAAAAGAAAAAUGCACAGUGAAACAAGAAAUGGUGGACCUUCUAAUAUCCAGUGUGAUGGUUUGUGUAUGCUUGACACAGGGAGUGACACUAUUAGAAGGUAUGGCCCUGUUGGAGUCGGUGUGUCAUUGUGGGCAAGGGCUUUAAGACCCUCAUCCUAACUUCCUGGAAGCCAGUAUUCUGCUAGCAGCCUUCAGAUGAAGAUGUAGAACUCUCAGCUCCUACACCUUGCCUGCCUGGAUUUUGCCAUGUUCCCACCUUGAUAAUGGACUGAACCUGUAAGCCAGCCCCAAUUAAAUGUUGUCCUUAUAAGAGUUGGCUUGGUCAUGGUGUCUGUUCACAGCAGUUAAUCCUUAAGACACCCAGGCAUAAAUCAUGACUAUAACACGGAGGCAGAAGGCCAACAAAAAAGAAAGUGCAAGCUUUGAACAACACCCUAAGCCCCAUUAGCAUAGACCAUGGAGCAUCAAACAAUCUCUCAAAAUGUAAGAGUAAAGCAGAAAAGGUACUUUCUAAACACAGUAGAAGUUAGAAAUCAGUAAUAAAGCUUUGAAAUUCACAAAUAUGAGCCAGGUGGUGGGAGCGGUGCACGACUUUAAUCCCAGCACUCAGGAGGCAGAAGCAGAUCUCUGUGAGUUCAAGGCCAGCCUAGUAUACAGGUGAGUUUCAGGACAGCCAGGGCUACACAAAGAAACCCUGUCUCAAAACAAAACAAACAAACAAAACAAAAAAGAAAUUUACAAAUGUGUAAAAAUUAAACAAUAUUUUCCUAAAUAACCAAUGAAUCAGAGAAGUGAUCUCAAAAUUAAGAAAAAAAAUGAAGCCAGGCGUGGUGGCGCACGCCUUUAAUCCCAGCACUUGGAAGGCAGAGGCAGGUGGAUUUCUGGGUUUGGGGCCAGCCUGGUCUACAAAGUGAGUUCCAGGACAGCCAGAGCUAUGGAGAGAGAUCCUGUCUCAAAGAAAAAGAAAAAAAGGAAAAAAAAAAAAAGAAUGGAAAUACAACAUAGCCAAAGUAAGUGGAAAUACAUAGCUUUAAACAUCCACAUUAAGAAAAAUGGGGGAAGGUUGGCUCUGUGGAUAAAAACACCUGCCACAAAGGCUGAUAGCCAAUCCUGGGACCCAUGUGGAGAGAACCAACUCCAACACUUUAUUCUCUGACCUCUGUAACUCACGCAUCCUGAGUUAUUUACCUGUAAAUAAACAUAAUAAAAGAAAAACAAUAAGGCUCCCAAGAUAUUGAUCUGCUCUUGGUAGCAUUUACAAAACUGGUUUUUAAGAAAACAACAAUAAUGCUUUGUCAUAAUUAUAUUAUGGGCAGCAAAGUUUGUCAGGCUUUUAACUAUGUAUAGAAUUGAGUCCUGAAAUCAAGUCAUUAGAUUAGAAAGUCUGUUUUUGACUAAACAAUGUCUGAAUGUUAUACAAAAGCAAAAAAUAAAAUCCAACACUUACUCAAGACUGGUAAAACUUUCCUUCUGAGUGACAGCCAAAACUUAGAGCCCUAAACCAAUGAGGACUGAGAGCUAAAAGGCUAGCCAAGAGUUUGACCCUUGCCUUCCAAGGGCAGCCAAGAACUAAGAAUGACGGGAAGCUUUCAGAAGGGAGUCACCAGAGGAAAAGGUCCCCUGUUUCCAAGGGAAGCCACAUGGUUAGCAAAACCCUUGCUUGUCCAUGCAGAUGGAAAGGCUGGUAGAAAACAAUGAUAAGAACCUAGGGGGCUCUUCAAAAUUUCCUACCACUAACCCCUGUGGAGCUCAAACCAUGUUCAAAUGACGGAUCAGUAGCAGAAGGUUGACUUUUUGGUCACCUUGUCUUGGUUAGGGUUUCACUGCUGUGAAGAGACACCAUAACCACAGCAAGUCUUAUAAAGGACAGCAUUUAACUGGGGCUGGCUUACAGGUUCAGAAGUCCAGUCCAUUAUCAUCAUGGCUGGAAACAUGGCAGUGUGCAGGCAGACAUGGUGCUGGAGGAGCUGAGAGUUCUACACCUUGAUCCAAAAGCAGCCAGCUCUUCCUCACUGGGCAGAGCUUGAGCACUAGGAGCCCUCAAAGCCCACCUACAGUGACACACUUCCUCCAACAAGGCCACACCUCCUAAUAGUGCCACUUCCCAUGGGCCAAGCAUAUUCAAACCAUCACGAACCUAUGUGCUCUUAAACACCCAAUAGGAAAGUAUUAAAAAUGACAUAACAAGACCAAGCUCUACAGGAAGCAGUUAACCUGUGUUGGCUCUGUGAAGGUAUUCUUGCAGGUGAGCAGCUGUAGACUAUCCAAAGGAGACUUAACCAGGUCUUAUUAAAAGUAUUUCAACAAUUGUAAAACUCCAGAAAUUUACUAAAGUGGUUUCACCUGUCAAAGAUAAACAGUUUCUUUGUUGUAGCAAUAGACAGCCACUUAGGGGGCUCCAUCAUUAAGAGCACUGGCUACUCUUCCAAAGGAUCUGGGAUUCAAUUCCCAGUGCCCACAUGGUGGCUCACAGACAUCUGAAACUCUAGUCCCAGGGAAUCCAACAAGGUCUUCUAGCUUCCAGGGGCACUAGACAUGCAUGCAGUGCAUAGAUAUGUAUGCCGGUAAAACAUCUAAACACAUAAAACAAAGAUUUAAGUAAAUUAGGUAAAGCCAGGCAGUGGUGGCUCAUGCCUUUAAUCCCAGUACUUGGGAGGCAGAGGCAGGCAGAUUUCUGAGUUCGAGGCCAGCCUGGUCUACAGAGUGAGUUCCAGGACAGCCAGGGACACACAGAGAAACCCUGUCUCGAAAAACCAAAAAAAAAAAAAGAAAGGUAAAUUUUUAAAGUAAAUUAGCUUUCAUACCUGCUUCUAGAUUAAGAACUCUGGUCACCCAACCACAAUGGCCGUAAUUGUAUCCUUAUACUCGUUCCUCUUGCAUCAUGAUUCAAAGAGCUCAGAGAUUCCUUCAUGGCUGUCACAAGUUACAUGUGCCUCACUUGACUCUCUUCUACUGUCUUGUUCCCUUAAAGUCUGCUUCAGGGAGCACUCUUGUCUACCCAUCUUUACUUCUCACAAAGAGAGCACUCCUCCAACCCUUGGAACACUCUCUAGACAUCACCCUUUGACCUCUGCCUUAUGCACUUACUUGGAAGCUUUGUUUAAAGAAGCCAAGAAGUCAUUAAGAGCCGAGUCCUCCAGAUGUGUAGGUUUGCCUGUGUCUGUGUCUUGAUGUAUUUUUGUUACAUACGUGUGCUGGUUGGGUUUUGUCAACUUGACCCAAACCUCAAUAUAUCUGGGAAUUGCCUCCAGAAGACUGUCCUGUAGGCAAGUCUGUGAAGGCAUUUUCUUGGUUGUGGAUUGAUGUGGGAGGGCCUAGCCUAGGAGUGAUACCAACCCAAGGAAGUAGUCCUGAGUUGUAUAAGAAAACAAACGGAGAAAACCAGUAAGUAGCAUUCCCCUGUCCUCUGUGACUUCUUUCUCAGUCCCUGUCCCCAGGCUUUUGUCUUGUGUGGGAAUCCAGACAGACUCAAGACUUUCUCAGAGGCACUGAAGGAAUAAUAAAGGGAGUGUUAUUUCUGUGUCUUUGUCCAGAGGUGGAGUUGGCAAGGUCAUUGUGAGGCCGGAGCCAGUGCCUCAAAGGUUGUGGUUUCUGAGAACCCAACUCCUCCCCCUGGGCUGUGGUUAUGAGUCCUAAGACAGCCGUGUCUGAAGUACCACAUGUUCUCUUUGCCAGUGUUGUCUGACUCCCUCCUGACCUCGGGCCAUCUCUCUGAUAAACAGUUUAUAGGAUGCUGUACUUCUUAAUAAACUUGCGUGGCAUGAGCUUAGGCAAGACCCCCUGGUCCCAGCUAAUGCCUUUGUCUUCCUUAUUUCUCAUUCCCUGUCCUCUGAACUCAAUACCUCACCAUUCAGCACACUUAUUCUUGUGGGUCUGGGUCAGUCUCGAACUCCUGCCUUGGAUUCCCUCAGUGAGCUGUGACUAGGGAUGUGUAAGCCAAAGAAACCCUGUCCUACCGAGUUGCUUUUGGCCAUAGUGUUUAUCACAGCAACAGAAAGCAAACUAGAAUAACACCUUUAGACAAAUGUUCUGUCACAUGUUUUUAUGAUAAAGUCCCCAAAAAAGGGUUUAAUGAAUUCUGAUUCAAAAAUGUAAACAAAUGUGAGAAGUUAGUGAUUUUAA